GUCCCGAUAGGGUAGUGGACAUCCUAGAGGCCUGCGGAGCCGAGGGCAGCGCAGAGAGCCUCAGACCCGGGUUCGAAUCCCGGUCGGGACG
rfam:Methanosaeta harundinacea 6Ac, complete genome.